rnacentral:rRNA from 1 species
AUUAAACGCUGGCGGCAUGCCUUACACAUGCAAGUCGAACGGCAGCACGGGGGCAACCCUGGUGGCGAGUGGCGAACGGGUGAGUAAAGCAUCGGAACGUGCCCUGGAGUGGGGGAUAACGUAGCGAAAGUUACGCUAAUACCGCAUAUUCUGUGAGCAGGAAAGCAGGGGAUCGCAAGACCUUGCGCUCUGGGAGCGGCCGAUGUCGGAUUAGCUAGUUGGUGGGGUAAAGGCCUACCAAGGCGACGAUCCGUAGCGGGUCUGAGAGGAUGAUCCGCCACACUGGGACUGAGACACGGCCCAGACUCCUACGGGAGGCAGCAGUGGGGAAUUUUUGGACAAUGGGCGGAAGCCUGAUCCAGCCAUGCCGCGUGAGUGAAGAAGGCCUCGGUUGUAAG